rnacentral:sRNA from 1 species
CUUGUUCCGGUGAGAUAAAAUGGACAUGAGUAUCAAUACCGCCUGCGGUUAGAAUUCGUCCUUCACCAGCGAUAAUUUCUGUAGCAUUCCCACAAACAAUGUCGACUUUAUCCAUUGUGCCCGGGUUUCCAGCUUUACCAAUUUUUUGGAUUUUUCCAUCUCGAAUGGCUACAUCAGCCUUAAUAAUACCAGUAUAAUCAAGGAUUAAAGCAUUAGUAAUCACAACAUCAGGUACCUGGUCUGAACGUAAAAUACGAG